UACGUAGGGUGCAAGCGUUGUCCGGAAUUAUUGGGCGUAAAGAGCUCGUAGGCGGUCUGUUGCGUCGGCUGUGAAAACCCGGGGCUCAACUCCGGGCCUGCAGCCGAUACGGGCAGACUAGAGUUCGGCAGGGGAGACUGGAAUUCCUGGUGUAGCGGUGAAAUGCGCAGAUAUCAGGAGGAACACCGGUGGCGAAGGCGGGUCUCUGGGCCGGAACUGACGCUGAGGAGCGAAAGCGUGGGGAGCGAACAGG
rnacentral:rRNA from 1 species